rnacentral:rRNA from 1 species
GAUGAACGCUAGCUACAGGCUUAACACAUGCAAGUCGAGGGGCAGCAUGUCGGUUGCUUGCAACCGAUGAUGGCGACCGGCGCACGGGUGAGUAACGCGUAUCCAACCUGCCUCUUACCAGGGAAUAACCCGUCGAAAGGCGGACUAAUGCCCUAUGCCCUCCGCGGCAGACAUCUAAUGCGGAGGAAAGAUUCAUCGGUAAGUGAUGGGGAUGCGUCUGAUUAGCUUGUUGGCGGGGUAACGGCCCACCAAGGCAACGAUCAGUAGGGGUUCUGAGAGGAAGGUCCCCCACAUUGGAACUGAGACACGGUCCAAACUCCUACGGGAGGCAGCAGUGAGGAAUAUUGGUCAAUGGGCGGAAGCUUGAACCAGCCAAGUAGCGUGCAGGACGACUGCCCUAUGGGUUGUAAACUGCUUUUAUGCGGGGAUAAAUGACACUACGUGUAGUGUUUUGCAGGUACCGCAUGAAUAAGGACCGGCUAAUUCCGUGCCAGCCGCCGCAGUAAGAC